AACGAACGCUGGCGGCAGGCUUAACACAUGCAAGUCGAACGCCCCGCAAGGGGAGUGGCUGACGGGUGAGUAACGCGUGGGAACAUACCCUUUUCUACGGAAUAGCUCUGGGAAACUGGAAUUAAUACCGUAUACGCCCUACGGGGGAAAGAUUUAUCGGGGAAGGAUUGGCCCGCGUUGGAUUAGCUAGUUGGUGGGGUAAAGGCCUACCAAGGCGACGAUCCAUAGCUGGUCUGAGAGGAUGAUCAGCCACAUUGGGACUGAGACACGGCCCAAACUCCUACGGGAGGCAGCAGUGGGGAAUAUUGGACAAUGGGCGCAAGCCUGAUCCAGCCAUGCCGCGUGAGUGAUGAAGGCCUUAGGGUUGUAAAGCUCUUUCACCGAUGAAGAUAAUGACGGUAGUCGGAGAAGAAGCCCCGGCUAACUUCGUG
rnacentral:rRNA from 1 species